rnacentral:rRNA from 1 species
GACGAACGCUGGCGGCGUGCUUAACACAUGCAAGUCGAACGGAAAGGCCCUGCUUUUGUGGGGUGCUCGAGUGGCGAACGGGUGAGUAACACGUGAGUAACCUGCCCUUGACUUUGGGAUAACCUCAGGAAACUGGGGCUAAUACCGGAUAGGAGCUCCUGCUGCAUGGUGGGGGUUGGAAAGUUUCGGCGGUUGGGGAUGGACUCGCGGCUUAUCAGCUUGUUGGUGGGGUAGUGGCUUACCAAGGCUUUGACGGGUAGCCGGCCUGAGAGGGUGACCGGCCACAUUGGGACUGAGAUACGGCCAAGACUCCUACGGGAGGCAGCAGUGGGGAAUAUUGCACAAUGGGCGGAAGCCUGAUGCAGCAACGCCGCGUGCGGGAUGACGGCCUUCGGGUUGUAAACCGCUUUCGCCUGUGACGAAGCGUGAGUGACGGUAAUGGGUAAAGAAGCACCGGCUAACUACGUG